CUCCAGGUCCUCUGGGUUGCUUGGCAUGGU
rnacentral:piRNA from 1 species